GAUGGGGAAUGCUUUGAGCUGCCUGUUCCAACCCUAGGAGAUAGGCUCCUGGGGGAGGCUCAGCUUUUUGCAAUCAGGAUGAUUAAUUGUGGGCUCAUACAAAAACCUGAGAGAGAAAAACAAACCUUUUUACAAGUUCCUUAGUAGAACAUGUAGUUACAGAGCCAGUCUUCCCAUUUUAUUUUGUUUUGGUUUUGUUUGGUAUCAUCUGUUUACUCCCUUGAUACAUCAAGAAUAAGUGAUAUACAGCUCUCUACCAUUUGGGAUACAGAUCUGCACCUCCUCCAGAUUUCGCUCAUUCUUGGCAGCUUGGCAGGGCAGAAUGGGCUGGCUGUGGGACCCCGAAGGAAGGAGCACAACCAGCCACCAGAUGUGUGACCUCCUCACCCUGCUGGCAGCACUGAACGUCCUUUCCUGUAAACUUCUCUGAGCACUUUAUGUUGGAAUGCCCUCAAAUAUCACAAAGUAAGCAGAGGAGGAUGGCUGAGAGGGAAGGAGAGGGAAGGAUCCUGUGGCCUUGGCAGAGCUCAUUGCAUCGCACGGAUCCCUACUACAGUCAUGAGGUCAGUGUGCUGGGCACGGGCAAACUGGAAAAUACACAGACUGAGACUGAACUCAAAGAAUCAUAGAAUAGUCUGAGUUGGAAAGGGAUGAUAAAGAACAUCACAUCUAACUCCUGGAUCCACACAGGGUCACUCAAAAUCCAAACCCUAUGUCUGAGAACAUUGGCCUUGAGCUUCAGCAGCUCGGGGCCGUGCCCACUGCCCUGGGGAGCCUGUUCCAUGCUCACAAGCCUCUGGUACAGUACCUUUUCCUAACCCCCAACUGACCCAACAUGCAGUGCUGUGUAAGGAAGGAAGCACUGAUGCACAACCAUUAUUAUUUUUUUUCCUGAUGUGGAUGUAACUCCUCUUUUGGAAAACACAUCCCAUCAGAACUUCAAAUAUAGCUGUCAGUGAUCAAGAGGAGGCUCAGUGCAGUCUUCAGACAUCUUUAAUACUGGCAAAGCUCAGUGACCAUGCCCCCAACCCAAGUGCAAUGAUUUCCCAGUCUGUUUUCUGAGUAUGUUUUUCCUCAUUUCAAAAUGGUUUUGCAGAGGUAUCAGAACAUGCUUAAUGCUUGGAAAAAAAAUGUGAGCAUCAUGGUCAUUGAACAAGACUGGCCCCCCUUUCCCUUCCUUUGUUAAAGCAGAAUGAGGUUGCAUGGACUCUUGUUUACAAUUUCUUACAGUGGGCUCUUUUACUGCCAAUGCCACAAAUGAUGUCAUUUGUUUAGCGGGAGACUGUCUAUUAGAAAUGCCAAAUGUAAUUAGGAUCUUUACUUACUAUUGCGUUUCACAAACACUCGUGGUGAGAAAUGGCUGCUACCUUUUGAACUCAGCCUAGCAGUGGGAGUUUCCCUGCAAGGGCUGCUGGCAAAGGCUCUGACCUAGGGCAAGAAGAGAUUUCACACGGUAUUUGCUACUCUCCUCCACAUUUGGAAAGUUCAUAAGCUUUCAGCCGGGAGGGCAGUGAUGUCACUGAGAAUAACUCCUCAUCUGGUGGGGAAAAAAAACCUAAAAAACAAAAAAAAAAAACCAAAACAAAAAUCCCAAACAUUAACCCCUGGAAAUUGCAGAGCUGAGGCUCUGCCGACUUCAGGUCCUUCAAGCCUGGGAGGAAUGGGGCCCAGCCUGGCCAGAUGCUGCCAGCUGGUUCCAAGCCAGCGUACUGGGAUCCUACUCCACCCAUGACACUUAGAGAGAAACAAAGGGUGUAAAGGGUGUGUUAGGGACAGGAAGAGGCGUGAUGCUUGUGACUGUACUCCAGCUAUUCUCCACCGUCAGGAGCCCCUGAGGGAGGAGGUGGGAGGAGGCGAGAGGAGGAAGGCCAGGAGCAGAUGGCAUUAAUUUAGUACAGCCCAAGGCUGCCGUGCAAUAUGCUGUUGCUUGGCCCAUGUUUGGAACCAGCCUUAAAACUUGUGUCCCCCUGCUUGAAGGCUACUGUUGUAGCCAUACAACAAGAAUUGGGGACGAAGGCAUCCAUCUGGACCAGGCCUGGAACUGGAGCUUGGCUGACAGCAGCCAAGAUGUCCUUAGCAGGCGGUGAAGCUCUGGGGGCCCAUCCCGGCACUUGCUGACGUCAAUGGAAACCUUUCUGAUGACUUCAAUAGGCUCUGGAUCAGGCUCCUGACUUCUAAUUGCAAGCAUGCAUGGUUUCUCUCCUUUCUUCUUCUCACCGGAGAUGUUAAAAAGUGAAUAUGACAUCUACUCCUCCGCAGCUCUGGCUAUUCAAUCACCUUUCUUAUAGUGAUGAAGGGAACACGUCUUCAGGGCAACCUGUAUGUAGAUGUUGUUGGACUUCUGCUAUCUGUUUUACUGUGAUUUAGUGUCAGCACAUGCAGAACUGGAAACACUACUCUUUGUGGCACACAGCCCUGCUCUCUGCUUUUCCUUUCUCCAGUAAGGACUUGCCGCUCCUCCUGCUGUUCAGCCAUCACCUGUACAAUUCUAAGCCUCAAAGGGUUAAUCGUAUUUCUUCACUAUUCAGAAACCACCAUGACUAUUAGGCAUGUAAUUCAUGGGUUCUACCAUCUCAUCUGCAAAAAUACAAGCAGGUAAACCACCAGAAAGCCCAGUCCAUGCCCAAGCAGCUUUAUAACACUGAAAAGCAGCUUCACCCAGACCUUCCUGCUGCCUCUGACCCUUCAGUUCCAGCAGAGCCAACUUCACGUCCUUCAUCCUCCACAGCCCGCCCACCUACCACCUCCUUCAGGGAUUUUUCUGCAGGUUAUUUGAGGAUACGGACACUCGAGUGGAAAUAUGAUGAUGAAGCACCUGUGUUUUGACUAUAUACUAUCUUUUCCUGCUGUUUUUAAUGUUCUCUACAUUCCUGUGUGAUUACUUUUUUUGUGUUGCCUCUCUUUCAUUGAGUUUGUGAAUGCAAAUCAUUUCUGGGAUGUUAUUAAUUUACUUCCAGCUGAUAAAAUGACUGCGAGGUGGGAGGGAGCAUGAGUCCUAGCUUGUGUCCCUCAGCACAAACUACUUGCAGCCAGCAACCUUGCCCUGCAGUUCACACUUAUUCCUGUAAUAUACGGGUCAAUAAAAGAGCUGCCAAUUUACAUUUAAAAAAAAUGGAAAAAAGUAAUCUCAUACUUAGAGAAAAUAGAGACAAAAGGAAGGGGGGGUUGUGGUGUUUUGGGGUGGUUUUUUCCCCAAAAAACCACAUACCUGCUGAAAAGAGCAAGGGGCUGUUGACUUUGUGCUGCAGAAUCUACUGAAUUGCUCUUGUAAAACCCAGCUGCUGUGUGCUAUCCUUAAAAGGCCAGUUAAGAUUCUUGAUGCAGAGCUUUCCAAAAUUUCCUUUCUCUCUUUCUCCCUUUCUCCCUUUCUCUCUUUCUCUCCAAAUUUGACAUCGUGUUAAAGAAACUUCGUUAUUGCUCACUAAGGGUUUAGAGGCAAAAGGUUCCUUUCGAUGCUUCCAAUUACAGUAAAUCAAUGAAAAUUGAACACAAGGACAGAUCCAAAGUAUUUUAAUGCUUACUUAACAAUUCUUGCUGUAAUUCUGGUGCAAUUGCUUCAAUUUACACAGCUACAUGACUGAAUCCACACAGCCAUCUAUUUUAAUCCUGUGUUUUUUUUCUGCUGGGUCAAUAGGAAAAUACUGUGUUAGCAUUCUUAGGAUAUAUUCUUAGCUGAAAAGUAUUUCCAACUCAGGUCAAGCCAUGAGGGAAAUAUUGUUAAUGAACUUUGUCUUUAGGACUUGUAAAUCAACAGAGAACUGUAAAGCCUUAGAGACAGAGGGUUCUCAUCUUUCCCUUUACUGAGUGCUUUGCUAUACUGUGUUCUGCUAGGUCCCUGGAAAAGCUCUUCCCAGCAGGAGCAGCACCAAGGCGAGAGGCCACAGCCGAACAGCUCUGUCCUUCCUGGGCUGUGAGCAGGAACCGAUGGGGCUGCACACACAGUGAACUCCUUUCCUCUGCGAGAGGUGAGGUUGGGAUGCCGCGGUGGGGCCACUCUUUGUUCCAGGCAGAAAGCUGGUGCAGGACCCACUUCCUGGAGACAGGGAGGAAGGAAACCCUAAGGAAGGAAGAUUAACAACACUCUGAGUCAUGACCAAAUUCUCAGCUGGCCUCCAGCGGAACGUGUCCUGCCCACCAUCAGUGGGGUUUAGGGCAAGCAGCAGCAGACGCCCCUGAUGGGCCAUCUUGUAUAGCGUGAAGAAAUUGCUCCUGUUUUCACUCAGUGUUCUAUAAUUUAGUGUGUAAGCUGUUUUUAACCGUGGUCAUCUGGGUGAGAUAUAUUGUCAUGGCCUACUGAAGAAAUUUUAUACAAGUCAGCACACGAGGCAACCUGACAAAGGCCACGGUAUUGCUGGUACAUUGUCAUGUUCUGAUGUACCAUUGAGGUUGGCGGCUUCAGCCCUGAGAGAUUCUGAAAGUUAAACCAAAAGAGCACUGUGGUGUUUCAGAAGCACGCUGAUGAGUUUUUGUGUCCUAAAUUCAUUCAGCGUGGAUACAAAGUCCUUCCAUCACCGAUGCUCUUGUUUUGAAGAGCACAGGGACUAUCAGGAACACUCAGUGACUUCUGGCUUGAACCGCACCAUGAGGAGCUGUGAGCUAUGCAGGGGAAUGCCCUUUCCUCCUCUCCCAUACUGAAGCUAUGUCCUUGGCCUUGGUCACAUCCCCACGCUGCAGCUGCAUGACCUUCAUACAACUGAUACUGGUAGAGAGGUUUGGGUGUUUCAUGAAAACGAGCUCAUCAGAGAUGCUCAUUAACCACAGGCUUGGUGCAGUUGUUCAGCUUAAUGCAGUGAGGAGUUCUGGCUACACAGCAAAAAAGGUGAAUCCGAUGUUUGGUGGUAUUGGAAAAGCUGGAGUUGUUGACAAGGCUCUGAAGACAAAGAUUAUCUGAGAAAAAAGGGGGCACGCAAGCACAAACUUCAUGGGUUUUAACACCACUUUGCCUUCAUCAGUUCUGACAUUCAGUCUUCAAAGAAAUCACGGAAGAGACAAAACUGUCCAAGUUUGAGAUGAAAUCAGCACUCAGGUGAAAACAACACAAUCUUUUGAAUGCAAGGGCAGCAAAACAGCAAAUGGAAGUAAAAACUCUUCGCUGAGAUUCAGCUCUCCAGCCUCAGAUCCAUGGAAAAACAGUGAUAACUUAAUACAGGAAUGUUCUUGUUUGUGGCUUUUCUCCAAUCUUUCAUGGUCAUUUGAAAGUUAAAACAGACCCUCCUACUCCAGACAGUCGAGUACAGUGAAAGCAGCUUGUUACAAAACAUGGUUAAGAAUGUUUAAAUAAAAAUAUGUAGAAUAAAGAAGGAUCUAUUCAGGACGCAUCACUACUCUGACAGGCUGUGAAGUUAUUUCACCCCUCAACACAAGUGCUAAAACAUAAUGGAAUCCCUACUGAGUAUUUUCAUGCCUACCAGAACAUUAAAAAAAAAGCAUAACAAAAUGCCCAGUGUGCCCCUAACUAUUAGCUCGGCUGAGUAAGGAGGCCAAUAGAAAACAGUGGCACUGUGGGAAAUACUUGUGGCGAGGAAGGAAACAAUAACUGAAAGUGAUAAAAAUGGAUGGUUCGAGCACAACCACACAUUGGCUGGAGAAGCGUAUUGUGCCCAUUGCAAUGGCAGACAACCUGCAAGCACAGCAUCAAUGUAGGCUAUGUCUUUUCCUCUCUGCAGCCAUAAAGAAAUGUAAAAGCCAGAUUUCAAAAAGGCUUCCAGAUGGGAAAGGAGGCUGCUUCUGGUUCUUUGGGUUACAAAAAGGACCAUUCAGCUUGCAGGCAAAGCUGUGUGAGAGACACUUGGAAUGCACCAUUUCAAUCCAUUCUUUUUGCUUCCAGUUUAACUGAGAACUUGAAAUGGGCACAGAUGCAGCAUUGCGGCGUGCGAAAGCGGGGCACUAAAUGGUGCAUUAACAUAAUGCUGAAUUCUGCUGUCACUAAUCAGGCCCUGUUCAGAAAGAAAGCAGCAAGACUUCUGCCCGCAAAGGAAUUCCAUAUGACUCUAAUAUACAAAAAUCUCAAUUAAAUUAUACUGAACUUGCUGAACUUCACGAACUCAGGGUUAUUGCUCAGGUACACCAUAGUGGUGAGCUAGCUCUAAAUGCUAAUUUGUUCCAAGGAAGCUCUUAACUUUCAUUGCCCUUUAUUUUUUAUUAUUUUUUUCUGAUUUACAGUGCAGAUGAUAGAAAACAC